UAGAAAUUAUUGUAGGGACCUACACAGAGGAGUAAAACUUGGAACUAGGGGAGAUGUAAUUAAACCGUCUCUUCUUCUCCUUCAAUCCAGCCAGCCAGCCAUAUGAUUAGGUUUUCGAAUCAUCUGAUCAAAUAGUUUCUUUCUUUCGCUCACUCGUCUUCACCGAUUAUAUCAUGUAAGUUUGGACUCUGCGGAUAGUGACCUUCUCAGAUCUCUCUCUCUUUCACAUGAUAAACAGACAUUUGUCGCUCUGUUUCUCUACAAUUUUCUAUAUGUAGAUAAUAUUCGUCUGGUCUGGCUUCUCUUUGUAUUCGAUGUUGACGGGACUAAUCGAGCUUACGUUGCUACAAGUCUUCCUUCCUACUUCUCCUAUAUUAUGUAAGAAGAUCAAACAUUCCUGGUUAAGAAUUUGAUAGACAAAGUGAAGCAGGUGUCGUUUGUGCCCAUUUUGAACAGACUGUUAAAUGAAAUUGAAACAAUGAGAGCAGGAAGGAACAUCUUCCUUAAACCACAAUGCUGCGGUUAUUCUUCUUCUGCUUUGGGUGAAAGUAAAAGAAUCCACAAGCCCAUGAAGGAAAGAGAGAGAUGACCACGAGCCUCAGCAAAAUGAACAGACAUAGCAUCAUCAAACAAUGCACACGAACCAGUUCUUAAACAGGUGAACAUCUUUCUUUCUUUCUUUCUUUCUUUAAUAACCCAUCUCAACAUUCAUGAGUAUGGUUAGAUGGAACAAGUAACAUUCAAGAUCUUUUUAUAAUAACAAUAAUGGAGCAAUAAACAUAGUGGGUUUAGUCAUUUCUUAGAUAUCACUCAGCUUGUUGUCAGAGUUCUGAGGAGAGUUAUUGCCAUUUAUCUCCAAGGCCUCCUUUUCUUCUUCAAUGUAGAUUUCCUCUGAUCGGCAUUCGCAGCUGCAAAAUGCUUUCUCCCCUCUGCAAGACAUCAUCAUCAUCUUCACAGAAACUCAAGAAGUCAUUUGGUAAAGUAUGGUUUUGGGAGAAUUGUAAAAUACAGUCAUUGAAAAUAUGUGUUACUUUGGGGUUGGGACCGUUUUUUCUUG